rnacentral:sRNA from 1 species
AGUUCUCUCAGAGCCUGUGCAGGAGGCUUCCUUAAUUCGCCUUCAGCCCGAGAGCUGGGCGUGGGAACAGCGUGGGGUCAGGGAGACCCCUGCUUGCCCUGGCCCAGAAUAUGAACCUGGGAUCCUCAUCGCCAAGCAAAAAGCAGAGCAAGGAAAACACCAUCACAAUAAACUGUGUGACGUUCCCUCACCCAGACACGAUGCCGGAACAGCAGCUGCUGAAACCAACCGAGUGGAGCUACUGCGACUACUUCUGGGCUGAUAAGAAGGACCCCCAAGGCAACGGCACUGUGGCUGGGUUUGAACUACUGCUCCAGAAACAGCUGAAGGGCAAACAAAUGCAGAAGGAAAUGUCAGAAUUCAUCCGGGAAAGGAUAAAGAUUGAAGAAGACUAUGCGAAGAACUUAGCUAAGCUCUCUCAGAACUCCUUGGCUUCACAGGAGGAAGGCUCCUUGGGAGAGGCGUGGGCCCAGGUGAAGAAGAGCCUGGCGGACGAAGCAGAAGUUCACCUCAAGUUCUCUGCCAAGCUUCACAGCGAGGUGGAGAAGCCCCUGAUGAACUUCCGUG